AUGAAGGGAGCUUGCUCCUGGAUUAGUGGCGAACGGGUGAGUAACACGUGAGUAACCUGCCCUUAACUCUGGGAUAAGCCUGGGAAACUGGGUCUAAUACCGGAUAUGACUCCUCAUCGCAUGGUGGGGGGUGGAAAGCUUUUUGUGGUUUUGGAUGGACUCGCGGCCUAUCAGCUUGUUGGUGAGGUAAUGGCUCACCAAGGCGNCGACGGGUAGCCGGCCUGAGAGGGUGNCCGGCCACACUGGGACUGAGACACGGCCCAGACUCCUACGGGAGGCAGCAGUGGGGAAUAUUGCACAAUGGGCGAAAGCCUGAUGCAGCGACGCCGCGUGAGGGAUGACGGCCUUCGGGUUGUAAACCUCUUUCAGUAGGGAAGAAGCGAAAGUGACG
rnacentral:rRNA from 1 species